rnacentral:rRNA from 1 species
GACGUAGGGCGCGAGCGUUGUCCGGAUUUAUUGGGCGUAAAGAGCUCGUAGGCGGCUUGUCGCGUCGACUGUGAAAACCCGCGGCUCAACUGCGGGCCUGCAGCCGAUACGGGCAGGCUAGAGUUCGGUAGGGGAGACUGGAAUUCCUGGUGUAGCGGUGAAAUGCGCAGAUACCAGGAGGAACACCAGCGGCGAAGGCGGCGCUCUGGGCCGGAACUGACGCUGAGGAGCGAAAGCGUGGGUAGCAAACAGG